AACGCUGGCGGCGGGCUUAACACAUGCAAGUCGAACGGGGUAGUAAUACCCAGUGGCGCACGGGUGCGUAACGCGUAGGCAACCUGCCCUAGAGUGGGGAAUAACUCUCCGAAAGGAGAGCUAAUACCGCAUAUGGUCUGAGAGUGGCAUCACUCACAGAUGAAAGUUUUAAUGCUCUAGGAUGGGCCUGCGUUGGAUUAGGUAGUUGGUGCGGUAACGGCGCACCAAGCCGACGAUCCAUAGCUGGUCUGAGAGGAUGAUCAGCCACACUGGCACUGAGACACGGGCCAGACUCCUACGGGAGGCAGCAGCGAGGAAUCUUGCGCAAUGGAGGAAACUCUGACGCAGCCACGCCGCGUGAAGGAUGACACCCCUCUGGGGCGUAAACUUCUUUUGUAUGGGAAGAACAACGCGUUCGACGCGUCUGACGGUACCAUACGAAUAAGCACCGGCUAACUCCGUGCCAGCAGCCGCGGUAAUACGGAGGGUGCAAGCGUUGUCCGGAAUCAUUGGGUGUAAAGGGUGUGUAGGCGGGACCGUAAGUCAGAGGUGAAAGCCCAUAGCUUAACUGUGGAAUUGCCUUUGAUACUGCGGACCUUGAGUCCUGGAGAGGUGGCUAGAAUUAAU
rnacentral:rRNA from 1 species